rnacentral:rRNA from 1 species
AGCGUACACGGUGGAUGCCCUGGCAGUCAGAGGCGAUGAAGGACGUGCUAAUCUGCGAUAAGCGUCGGUAAGGUGAUAUGAACCGUUAUAACCGGCGAUUUCCGAAUGGGGAAACCCAGUGUGUUUCGACACACUAUCAUUAACUGAAUCCAUAGGUUAAUGAGGCGAACCGGGGGAACUGAAACAUCUAAGUACCCCGAGGAAAAGAAAUCAACCGAGAUUCCCCCAGUAGCGGCGAGCGAACGGGGAGCAGCCCAGAGCCUGAAUCAGUGUGUGUGUUAGUGGAAGCGUCUGGAAAGGCGCGCGAUACAGGGUGACAGCCCCGUACACAAAAAUGCACAUGCUGUGAGCUCGAUGAGUAGGGCGGGACACGUGGUAUCCUGUCUGAAUAUGGGGGGACCAUCCUCCAAGGCUAAAUACUCCUGACUGACCGAUAGUGAACCAGUACCGUGAGGGAAAGGCGAAAAGAACCCCGGCGAGGGGAGUGAAAAAGAACCUGAAACCGUGUACGUACAAGCAGUGGGAGCACGCUUAGGCGUGUGACUGCGUACCUUUUGUAUAAUGGGUCAGCGACUUAUAUUCUGUAGCAAGGUUAACCGAAUAGGGGAGCCGAAGGGAAACCGAGUCUUAACUGGGCGUUAAGUUGCAGGGUAUAGACCCGAAACCCGGUGAUCUAGCCAUGGGCAGGUUGAAGGUUGGGUAACACUAACUGGAGGACCGAACCGACUAAUGUUGAAAAAUUAGCGGAUGACUUGUGGCUGGGGGUGAAAGGCCAAUCAAACCGGGAGAUAGCUGGUUCUCCCCGAAAGCUAUUUAGGUAGCGCCUCGUGAAUUCAUCUCCGGGGGUAGAGCACUGUUUCGGCAAGGGGGUCAUCCCGACUUACCAACCCGAUGCAAACUGCGAAUACCGGAGAAUGUUAUCACGGGAGACACACGGCGGGUGCUAACGUCCGUCGUGAAGAGGGAAACAACCCAGACCGCCAGCUAAGGUCCCAAAGUCAUGGUUAAGUGGGAAACGAUGUGGGAAGGCCCAGACAGCCAGGAUGUUGGCUUAGAAGCAGCCAUCAUUUAAAGAAAGCGUAAUAGCUCACUGGUCGAGUCGGCCUGCGCGGAAGAUGUAACGGGGCUAAACCAUGCACCGAAGCUGCGGCAGCGACGCUGAUGCGUUGUUGGGUAGGGGAGCGUUCUGUAAGCCUGCGAAGGUGUGCUGUGAGGCAUGCUGGAGGUAUCAGAAGUGCGAAUGCUGACAUAAGUAACGAUAAAGCGGGUGAAAAGCCCGCUCGCCGGAAGACCAAGGGUUCCUGUCCAACGUUAAUCGGGGCAGGGUGAGUCGACCCCUAAGGCGAGGCCGAAAGGCGUAGUCGAUGGGAAACAGGUUAAUAUUCCUGUACUUGGUGUUACUGCGAAGGGGGGACGGAGAAGGCUAUGUUGGCCGGGCGACGGUUGUCCCGGUUUAAGCGUGUAGGCUGGUUUUCCAGGCAAAUCCGGAAAAUCAAGGCUGAGGCGUGAUGACGAGGCACUACGGUGCUGAAGCAACAAAUGCCCUGCUUCCAGGAAAAGCCUCUAAGCAUCAGGUAACAUCAAAUCGUACCCCAAACCGACACAGGUGGUCAGGUAGAGAAUACCAAGGCGCUUGAGAGAACUCGGGUGAAGGAACUAGGCAAAAUGGUGCCGUAACUUCGGGAGAAGGCACGCUGAUAUGUAGGUGAAGUCCCUCGCGGAUGGAGCUGAAAUCAGUCGAAGAUACCAGCUGGCUGCAACUGUUUAUUAAAAACACAGCACUGUGCAAACACGAAAGUGGACGUAUACGGUGUGACGCCUGCCCGGUGCCGGAAGGUUAAUUGAUGGGGUUAGCGCAAGCGAAGCUCUUGAUCGAAGCCCCGGUAAACGGCGGCCGUAACUAUAACGGUCCUAAGGUAGCGAAAUUCCUUGUCGGGUAAGUUCCGACCUGCACGAAUGGCGUAAUGAUGGCCAGGCUGUCUCCACCCGAGACUCAGUGAAAUUGAACUCGCUGUGAAGAUGCAGUGUACCCGCGGCAAGACGGAAAGACCCCGUGAACCUUUACUAUAGCUUGACACUGAACAUUGAGCCUUGAUGUGUAGGAUAGGUGGGAGGCUUUGAAGUGUGGACGCCAGUCUGCAUGGAGCCGACCUUGAAAUACCACCCUUUAAUGUUUGAUGUUCUAACGUUGACCCGUAAUCCGGGUUGCGGACAGUGUCUGGUGGGUAGUUUGACUGGGGCGGUCUCCUCCUAAAGAGUAACGGAGGAGCACGAAGGUUGGCUAAUCCUGGUCGGACAUCAGGAGGUUAGUGCAAUGGCAUAAGCCAGCUUGACUGCGAGCGUGACGGCGCGAGCAGGUGCGAAAGCAGGUCAUAGUGAUCCGGUGGUUCUGAAUGGAAGGGCCAUCGCUCAACGGAUAAAAGGUACUCCGGGGAUAACAGGCUGAUACCGCCCAAGAGUUCAUAUCGACGGCGGUGUUUGGCACCUCGAUGUCGGCUCAUCACAUCCUGGGGCUGAAGUAGGUCCCAAGG